rnacentral:lncRNA from 1 species
UCUCAGCAGGUUGCCUACCUCAUGCUCUAGGGCCCCGCCGUUUCCUGGAACCUUGCCUUGAACAGAAAUGAGAACAAGGAUGUGAAGAGAUAAUCUGAAACAACAGUAUAUGACUCAAACUCUCCUCUUCUCCUCCUCCCAUAAGGCAAUGCAGAAAAGAAAAAACAUAAGGAUAAACAUAUUGAGAUUUGCUCUUGCUCCAGCACAAUUCCCUGAAAGGCUUCUUCUAAGCCUGGUAUCCUGGGAGUGGCAGUGUUUUCAGCGUGGCAGACAGAGCAGUCAGGAAGCUGGGAGCCCAAACAGCGUGAGACAAAGCCACAAAACAGAGGCCGCGCAUCAGUCGAAAGUGCUCCCGGUGCCUGUGGUCCAUAGAGUGGAGUGAGUCUCUAAGCAAAUCUGGAGGGACUCUGGGAGCUGAAGAUUCAGAAUAUCUCCACUUAUUCUUGCCAUAGCCUUUGCUGCUCAACUGUUGGGUGCCAUGAUGGUAUGAGCUGUUCCCUUCCUCAGCCUUUCCUGGCUCCUUCCAUGAGCCAACUGAUCUGUGGCAGCAUUUUAACAGCCUUGGUCCCUCUAUUUGUAGAGGUGUUAGCAUGAGUCACACAAGGAUCUGGAAGCUUUGAAGGAGACUGAUACCACAAUGCAGGAAC